CGUAGUCACCAUGGCCAACAGAGAUGUGUUUGUGAAAAAUGCAGUUCUAUACCAAUAGUUGUUCAACGGCAGAGCUGUCUUGAUCAACUCAUUGAUGGCUUGUCCCACAAUGGAGUAAGAUUUACCUCACAGUUCUAUAUCAUCUUUGAUUAUCUUUAUGGCCUUUCAUUUAUGGUGUUGAAUUUCCCUCCAGGUUUUAUCACUCCUGAGAGAGAACCCCAGCUUGUGUGUGCUGCUUGACAUACCAGGAGAGGACAAAGGUCAAGAAACUGAUUUUGUAGCUGGUAUUCUCAAACCAAGCUACUCCGUACUGGGGAGCAACAGAAGAGCUAAGGAGGAGUUGAUAGUGGUCAAAUCUAGGGAGUUUCUCCAAUGUGUUGAAAAUAAAGAGCUGAGAGACACAUAUGGGGACAGGACUCUAACCAACGAUGAGGAGGCAUUCCUGAAGACUUUGAGCCCUGGUCACAUCCUGGCGUUUGCUACAGGUAGCAGCAAAGUCCCAGCCACUGGCUUUCAUUCAUCUCCUAAAUUAAUGUUUAUUCAUGAUGAAAAAAAACAUCUUCCCAUUGUGCACACUUGUACAAAUGAGCUUCACCUUUUUGUAAACGGAAAAACAAUGGCUGAUGAUAAUGAAUUUAACUACUGCUUCCUAGUAGCACUAAUGAAUGGAUCUUUAUUCAGCACCAUUUAAACAAACUUUGUGAAAGAACCUCUGCAGUGUAAUACACCACUGUUUAGUGGAGGGCUCCUCAUGUUUGUUCAUAGAAGACAUAGUUUGUCCAUGUUAUAAAGCAAUGGUUUUUAAUUGCAGUACAUAAGAAUGCUAAAAAAGAAAUACUUUAGAUUGUGUUUUCCCAUCUUGCUCCACACUCUUUGCCCUGUUUUCUUACAAAAAAUGUUGACCUCUGUGAGGAUUAUCUGACCC
ensembl:lncRNA